rnacentral:rRNA from 1 species
GUGGGGAAUAUUGGACAAUGGGCGAAAGCCUGAUCCAGCCAUGCCGCGUGUGUGAAGAAGGUCUUCGGAUUGUAAAGCACUUUAAGUUGGGAGGAAGGGCAGUAAGUUAAUACCUUGCUGUUUUGACGUUACCGACAGAAUAAGCACCGGCUAACUUCGUGCCAGCAGCCGCGGUAAUACGAAGGGUGCAAGCGUUAAUCGGAAUUACUGGGCGUAAAGCGCGCGUAAGUGGUUUUGUAAGUUGGAGGUGAAAUCCCCGGGCUCAACCUGGGAACUGCCUCCAAAACUGCAUGACUAGAGUACGGUAGAGGGUAGUGGAAUUUCCUGUGUAGCGGUGAAAUGCGUAGAUAUAGGAAGGAACACCAGUGGCGAAGGCGACUACCUGGACUGAUACUGACACUGAGGUGCGAAAGCGUGGGGAGCAAACAGGAUUAGAUACCCGUGUAGUCC